rnacentral:rRNA from 1 species
UCUGAUGUGAAAGCCCACGGGCUCAACCGUGGAGGGUCAUUGGAAACUGGGGAACUUGAGUGCAGAAGAGGAAAGUGGAAUUCCAAGUGUAGCGGUGAAAUGCGUAGAGAUUUGGAGGAACACCAGUGGCGAAGGCGACUUUCUGGUCUGUAACUGACACUGAGGCGCGAAAGCGUGGGGAGCAAACAGGAUUAGAUACCC